GAGCCAUUAGCUCAGUUGGUAGAGCAUCUGACUUUUAAUCAGAGGGCCAGAGGUUCGAAUCCUCUAUGGCUCACCA
rnacentral:tRNA from 2 species